rnacentral:misc_RNA from 1 species
ACAACCUCAACUCCUUUUCAAUCGUGUUAUGCGUGAGGGAAGGGGUUGGAUUUGAGCAUAUCCACCGGGCCACAUUGGCUUGAGGGAUGCUUGAAAUGGAGGUUCGGCCGACAGUGCCUGGGCUACAAGCAUUUCAUACUUAAUCCCGUUAAACGGAUUAUAUCCUUUGCUGCAGCCAACAUACAGGGUAACUGUCAGUAACCGACUGAUGCAGGAAAGUUGAGAUGGGUUCUUCGGAUCCUAGCCUCUUCUAA